rnacentral:rRNA from 1 species
GGGGAAUUUUGGACAAUGGGCGAAAGCCUGAUCCAGCCAUUCCGCGUGAGUGAAGAAGGCCUUCGGGUUGUAAAGCUCUUUCGCAAGGGAAGAAAACUUACCCUCUAAUAAAGGGUGAGGUUGACGGUACCUUGAUAAGAAGCACCGGCUAACUACGUGCCAGCAGCCGCGGUAAUACGUAGGGUGCGAGCGUUAAUCGGAAUUACUGGGCGUAAAGCGUGCGCAGGCGGUUCUGAAAGUCAGAUGUGAAAUCCCCGGGCUCAACCUGGGAACUGCGUUUGAAACUCCAGAACUCGAAUAUGUCAGAGGGGGGUAGAAUUCCACGUGUAGCAGUGAAAUGCGUAGAGAUGUGGAGGAAUACCAAUGGCGAAGGCAGCCCCCUGGGAUAAUAUUGACGCUCAUGCACGAAAGCGUGGGGAGCAAAC